rnacentral:lncRNA from 1 species
GAUGGGGUAUUGGAUCAUCUUGUUCAUUAUCAUCUUCAUCAUUCUUUUCAAUAGAUUUUUCAUGUUUGUCAUCUUCUAUCGGAAUUUCUUUGUUAAUUAUUUUUCCGCUACGAAGGGUUGUGACAGACUUAACUUGUUCAAAUUUAGGUUGGGAUGAACUUGUUUCAUGGACCUCAUGUUGACCCUUUGGGUUAGAUUGAGGUUGGGCUGGAAAUGUCCCUUUUUCCCUAACAUUGAGUUGAGCCUCAAUUCUACCUACAGAAUUUUUAAGUUCUUGGAGUGAUUGCAUUGUAUUCUGAUUUAUUUGAGUCU